CAUGGAUGCAUUGGAUAUAGAGAAGUGGAAUAUUGUUAGUGAAACAUAUAUCCCAAUGAUAUCUAUCGCCUUGAGCUCCAUUGUUUUGGCGUUGGUGCUGUCCAGACGAGAAGAUCUCUAUUAGGCAGCAAAUCUCAUGACAGGUGCUGUGUUAGUUGCAUUGGUCUAUGAUAAGUUUAUUGUACUAUCUGCCGUGCUGGAUAGGAGGGGCCAGCGAAGUGCUUUUACUUAUGAGUUUGCUAACCCGGCAGAAUCCAAUAUUCCUGAGAUUGACGGAUGUUAUUACAUUAUUGUACUACAGCUGAAAACUCUUGGCAUUGAUGUGUAACCAUCAAGGUGAGUUUCGUAAUUUUGUUUUGUCAUUAUUCCCGGUCAUGAGUAGAUGGAAAAUUUGCAUUGAGAAGAUAGACGCUAGUAAAUCCAGCCAUCAUAAAGUUAAAAUAUUUCAGGUGUGCUAGUGUGCUUUUUAUUUACAAAUAAAUAAACGACACAGAUAUGCAGAGUCGAAGAUUACAUCGACAUCGUUCUU